rnacentral:rRNA from 1 species
GACGAACGCUGGCGGCGCGCCUAACACAUGCAAGUCGAACGGAGACAAGAGGAGCUUGCUUGUCUUGCCUUAGGGGCGAACGGGUGAGUAACGCGUGAGUAACCUGCCCUGGAGUGGGGGACAACAGUAGGAAACGACUGCUCAUAACGCAUAAGCCCACGGAUCCGCAUGGAUCUGCGGGGAAAGGAUUUAUUCGCUUCAGGAUGGACUCUCGUCCAAUUAGCUAGUUGGUGUGGUAACGGCCCACCAAGGCGACGAUUGGUAGCCGGGCUGAGAGGUUGGGCCGCCAGAUUGCGGCUAGGCCACGGUCCCGACUCCUGCGGGAGGCAGCGGUGGGUGAUAGUGCACAGUGGGGGAAAUGCUGAUGCAGCUCCGCCGCGUGGAGGAAGAAUGUUUUCUGAUUGUAAGCUCCUGUCGUGAGGGACGAUAAUGACGGUACCUAACAAGAAAGCGCCGGCUAACUACGUG